CAGCAGCCGCGGUAAUACGAAGGGUGCAAGCGUUACUCGGAAUUACUGGGCGUAAAGCGUGCGUAGGCGGUUUGUUAAGUCUGUUGUGAAAUCCCCGGGCUCAACUUGGGAAUGGCAAUGGAUACUGGCAAGCUAGAGUGUGUCAGAGGAUGGUGGAAUUCCCGGUGUAGCGGUGAAAUGCGUAGAGAUCGGGAGGAACAUCAGUGGCGAAGGCGGCCAUCUGGGACAACACUGACGCUGAGGCACGAAAGCGUGGGGAGCAAACAGGAUUAGAUACCCCUGUAGUCCCUGUCUCUUAUAA
rnacentral:rRNA from 1 species